CUAGUAGAAAGACCAAGAUGGAACACUGCUCUGAGAGCAGCUCUACUUGGAUGUACCUCAAACUGAACAUGAACCAUCGCUUUCUCACCCAAGCCCUCUCCUGCCCCAUGAUUUUCCCAUCACUGAAGACAACGCAACCAUCCUUCCUGUCUAAUAAAACUGUAACCUUGGCAUGA